rnacentral:tRNA from 2 species
GCCUCGGUGGUGGAAUAGGUAGACACACGGGACUUAAAAUCCCGCGCCCUAACCCGGCGUGCCGGUUCGAUUCCGGCCCGAGGCA